rnacentral:lncRNA from 1 species
UUUUUUUGUAGAGACUGGGCCUUGCUAUGUUGCUUAGGCUGGUCUUGAACUCCUAGCCUCAACCUCUCAAAGUGCUGAAAUUACAGGUGUGAGCCACUGUGCCCUAUCUGUGCUUUUUUCCUUCAUAAUUUACAAUACAUGAUUUAGGGUGGUAUUGUGUUUCUAGUGAAACUGUAACUUCAGUUUAUAGUUAUGGUAAAAUGAUUUUUGGUAAAUGUUAUACUUCUAUGUAUUGAUAGAGUGAAAUAAAUAAUGAUAUCUAAAAUGCCUUUUGUUCUCUCAUCACUAUCAGCCUUAUCAAAAUAAAGCUGUAAAUAGGCCAAAGCUUAUUUAGCUGCUAAGUAGGGAACCACUUUUCAUACUUAUUCCAUUUUUAUUGAGUCAAAUAAAGAAUGAUUAUAAAUUAUUUUAUGUAUGUAUAAAAUCUUUCACUGUUGUGAUGAUUACUAUACACUAUUCAUUAGGGCUAUGAUGUACACAUACACUGCCGGCUAGCUUAUUGCUUCAAGGAGAGCUGAAGGCAGUUUUCAUGUGUUGCAGUUUGGACAUGAUUUCUAAAUCUUUAGAAUUUUAGAAGUUCUAAAUUUUAGAAUUCCCUUAGAUCAGAAAGGCAACAUGGCCAGGCGUGGUGGCUCAUGCCUGUAAUCCCAGCACUCUAGGAGGCCGAGGCGGGUGGAUCAUGAGGUCAAGAGAUCAAGACCAUCCUGGCUAACACAGUGAAACCCUGUCUCUACUAAAAAUACAAAAAAUUAACUGGGUGUGGUGGCGGGCGCUUGUAGUUACAGCUACUCGGGAGGCUGAGGCAGGAGAAUGGCAUGACCCGGGGAGGCGGAGCUUGCAGUGAGCCGAGAUCAGGCCACUGCACUCCAGCCUGGGCAACAGAGCAAGACUCUGUCUCAAAAAAAAAAAAAAAAGGCAAUAUAAUUAGAUUUUCUUUUUCUGUUCAGUAUGCAAAUUUUGUUAGUUUUUCUGUGGACAGUUAAAAAGAAUAUAUUUAAUACUAUGGGCCUUUACAAGUAAUUUAGAUACUUCUAUUCAUAAAAAUGAUUCCUUCGGAAAAUUACCCAAGAAAGAGAGAGAAGACAAACACUAAUCUUUACAGUUUCUUUUUUCUUUUCUUUCUUUUCUUUUCUUUUUUUUUUUUGGAAACAGGGUCUUGCUGUGUUGCCCAGGUGUGCACCACCAUGCCUAGCUAAUUUUUUUGUAUUUUUUUUAGAGAUGGGAUUCGCCAUGUCGCCCAGGCUGGUCUCAAACUCCUGAGCUCAGGUGAUCUGCCUGCCUUGGCCUCCCACAGUGCUGGGAUUACAGUCGUGAGCCAUCGUGCCCAGCCUCUUUACAGUUUCAAAUGUGACAAUGGGCUCUAGGGUUCUGAGCAUAGUGUCUCCCUCUUCUAUAGGUGAAAUUUGGGUCUUAACUAACCUCAUGUCCCCUCAUUUUGGGUUCUGUUGUUUUCAUUGCUGAGCAGUCAGCAGUAUUUAAGUGGUGUUUUAAGUCAUCCAGACAUAUUUUUUUGCUUUUGCUUAGAUCUGUUACUAAUUG